rnacentral:rRNA from 1 species
UACGUAGGGUGCAAGCGUUAAUCGGAAUUACUGGGCGUAAAGCGUGCGCAGGCGGUGAUGUAAGACAGAUGUGAAAUCCCCGGGCUCAACCUGGGAACUGCAUUUGAGACUGCAUCGCUGGAGUGCGGCAGAGGGGGAUGGAAUUCCGCGUGUAGCAGUGAAAUACGUAGAUAUGCGGAGGAACACCGAUGGCGAAGGCAAUCCCCUGGGCCUGCACUGACGCUCAUGCACGAAAGCGUGGGGAGCAAACAGG